UUGUGAAAACACGGCUUUGCUUUCACAUCUCUGGGCCACUCAUAGGAACGUCAGAAGCUGCCUUUUACUGAGCCAGACCAUUGAUCCUUCUAGCACACCAUUGUCCACACUGACAGACUCUCCUAUCUCUACCCGGAGAUUAACCCUGGAACCUUCUGCAUGCAAGUACCACUAAGCUACAGCCCUUUCCCAUACCACCACAGGAAGCUGCUUCAUACCAAGUCGGACCCUUCAUCCUUCUAGCACGCCAUUGUCCACACUGACAGGCAGCAGCUCUUCAGGAUUUUAGACGGGGAACUCUCCCAACCCGACCUGCAGAUCCUGAGGAUGGAGCCUGGCACCCUUCGGCAUGCCAAGCGGACUUUCCACACUGUUGCGUUACCAACCUAUAGCUGUUGCUAGCUACCCUCCGCUCUCUGUAAAGCAGGAGCGGAGGAACUUUUUUUCUGUCAAGGGCCGCAUUCCAUCAGGGUAAUCUUUUGGCGUCGACAUGCUGGCUGGGGAUAGAGCCAGUGAUUGGUAGAGCCAGAAACAAAAGUCAUCUGGCUGGACUAAUCUGGAAUAAAGGACCUAUCUCAGCUGCGGUUCUACCCGGGGACGGGGCUUCGCCAGGUGCCCAAGGACAGCAAGGCAAUCCAGACCCUUUGCAGUGCUCAAGGGCUCUGUGGCAGCAGAAAGCACAUGGAAUUUCCACACCAUUGGUUCCAGUUCUGCUCUCUGAAGCAAAAGAAAACAAGUGUUAUCCAUCUUCUGUACCACAGCCUUUUGGAAAUUUGAAUACAUCGAUCAUAUCUCCCUUUAAAUCUUCUCCAGGCUAGAGGAAAUGGCGAGGCAUAGCCCGGCGACGAGCUAACCAAGCGAGCCUGUUUGUUCCUGUUGCCAACGUUCCUUUGGUUUGGUUUGUGUGAGUGAUGGCGAUGCACCGGCAUUUCAGUUUCGCUCUUCCUCCUUUCCACCACACUGUGCUACGGCCCAAGGAUUAGGCUGGGAUGGAUUGCAGCUACCAGCGGGUUGAGCUCUUGAACUUGAUGGCCAAGAAAAGGAAAACAAAAAAAUUAUAUAUCCUUAAGUGUGGGAUUAAAGCAUAAAGCUUAAGGGAGCUUGAAAACUCAAAAGCAAGGGUUUGGAACCAAAAAACGAAACCGAGCUGUUGCGUAAUGACAAAGACGGGACUCUGUGACCACAUCCACAACUUAUGUUUAAAGCACUACAAUACUACUGUAACAGUCUGGGCUUCCUCCCCAAGAAUCCUGGGAACUGUAGUUUAUGGCCACUGAGGCUUCUUAUGAGACCCUGAUUCCCUUCACAGAACUAUAAUGCAGAGAGGUUUAAAAUCAACCCCUUUCCCCAGGGAACUCUGAGAAUUGUAGCUCUAUGAGAGGAAUAGGGGCCUCCUAACAACUCUCAGUACCCUUAAAGAACGAUAGUUCCCAGGAUUCUUUGGGAGAAGCCAUGACUGUUUUAAGUGAUAUCAUAGUAUGGGGCCUGGGUGUUGAAUGCAUGGUCUGUAUGCAGGGCCAGCCCCGGCAUCAGGCAGAGUGAUGCAGCCAUCUCAGGCAGCCGAAGUUGGGAAGGCAUGAAACAGCGAUGAGGUGAUGGAGAACAGAACUGGGUUUACUGCUGUAGCCGUUAAGAUAGCCUACUGCCCACAGAUGCGGUGGAAGAUGCUGUUAGGUCACCAGAGCUGAAGUAAGAUUCAAGUACCGGUUCGGAUGGUUUCAGUUCUUAGAACAAUAUGUGUGUAUGUGUGUCAUUUUGUCCUUCACCUCAGCAAAAAUGUCUUGGACCAUCUCUCUCUCUCUCUCUGUGUGUGAUGCGACUGCGAGAUGUACAUGUGAGCAUGCACAUGACGGACAGGAUGGGGUGCUGCCACAUCCACAUGCCUUUUACCAAACCUACCACUGGCAUACAGCCCUCAGAAGGUUGGCCAAGAAGGAAUGAGCUCUCAGGCCGAAAAAGGCUCCUCAUCAUCCCUGCCAUAAACGAUAUAGCCCAGAAGAUGGUCUUGAAGAGAAUAGGGCGGCGAAAAAGUCUUAUUUUUCUGCCACUAUUAGAUCAUCUCUUUGCCGCCCAGCGGAGCUAUUUAAGGUGGUACGAGGGCUUUUACAUUCUGGCCCUCCUGAUACUAAGGAAACAUCGGAAGCCCGCUGCAACGAAUUUGCGGAGCACUUCCAGGACAAGAUUGAAUGCAUCCGUCGGGACUUGGACUCUGAUGUUAUGACAGUUGAAUCCAUUGAAGUGUCCAGAGUGCGGCCUUGUCCUUUAUUAUUGGAUGAGUUUCAGUUGGUGCAGCUCGAGGAAGUGGACAAGGUGCUUGGAAUGGUGCGGGCGGCUAUGUCUGCCCUUGAUCCUUGCCCAUCUUGGCUGGUGAAGGCUGGCAGGGCUGUAACCACUGGCUGGGCCAAAGAGGUGAUAAAUGCUUCCUUGAGAGAGGGAGUAGUCCCUGGCAGUCUCAAGGAGGCAGUAGUGAGACCUCUUUUAAAGAAACCUUAU